rnacentral:pre_miRNA from 1 species
GUAGUACUCCCUUCGUCCGGAAAUACUUGUCAUUAAAAUGAAUAAAAGGGGAUGUAUCUAGAUGUAUAUUAGUUCUAGAUACAUCAUUUUUUAUCCAUUUUAAUGACAAGUAUUUUCGGACAGAGGGAGUAGAAU